rnacentral:rRNA from 1 species
UAGGGAAUAUUAGAAAUGGACGAAAGUCUGAUCUAGCAACACCGCGUGUGCGAAGAAGGCCUUUGGGUCGUAAAGCACUUUUUGGAAGGAAUAGGAAGGAAUGUACUUCCAGAAUAAGUCUCGGCUAACUACGUGCCAGCAGCCGCGGUAACACGUAGGAGGCAAACGUUAUCCGGAUUUACUGGGCGUAAAGCGCGUGUAGGUGGUACUGUAAGUAGGGCGUGAAAGCUCCUGGUUCAACUGGGAGAGGCCGUUCUAACUACAGAACUAGAGGAUGGUAGAGGGAGGUGGAAUUCCAGGUGUAGCGGUGGAAUGCGCAGAUAUCUGGAGGAACACCGGUGGCGAAGGCGGCCUCCUGGACCAUUCCUGACACUCAGACGCGAAAGCUAGGGUAGCAAACGG